UUGGAGGGCAAGUCUGGUGCCAGCAGCCGCGGUAAUUCCAGCUCCAAUAGCGUAUAUUAAAGUUGUUGCAGUUAAAAAGCUCGUAGUUGAAUUUCGGGAUCAGCAGGUUGGUCGUGCCACUGGUAUGCACUGGCUUUGCUGGUUCCUCCUUUCUGAAGAACUGUAAUGCCAUUAAUUUGGUGUUGCAGGGAAACAGGACUGUUACUUUGAAAAAAUUAGAGUGUUUAAAGCAGGCUAACGCUUGAAUACAUUAGCAUGGAAUAAUGAAAUAGGACGUUCGAUCCUAUUUUGUUGGUUUCUAGGAUUGACGUAAUGAUUAAUAGGGAUAGUUGGGGGCAUUAGUAUUCAAUUGUCAGAGGUGAAAUUCUUGGAUUUAUUGAAGACUAACUACUGCGAAAGCAUUUGCCAAGGAUGUUUUCAUUAAUCAAGAACGAAAGUUAGGGGAUCGAAGACGAUCAGAUACCGUCGUAGUCUUAACCAUAAACUAUGCCGACUAGGGAUCGGAUGAUGUUAAUUUUUUAAUGACUCAUUCGGCGCCUUACGGGAAAC
rnacentral:rRNA from 1 species